AGCUGCGUGGGCGCUCGCCCGUCCCUCAGUUAGAGAUCGGCUACCUCGCCGCUCGCACGAAACACUUCUCCGAACAGCGCAACGAACGACUGCAAAGAUGUCUACCGGUCCGAAGAUUGUUCACAAGCAGUUCAACUCUCCCAUCGGCCUGUACUCCCAACAGAACAUCCAGGAGACCCUCAAUAAGCAUCUGCAGAACCUCGACAAUGGCACCGUCGGCAUUGACUUCCAAAACCCAGUGACCGACAAACCAGCCAAUCUAGCCAACUCAGCCGUUCUGCGAAUGCUUGAAGAAGAGGAGCGUAAUCGUAGAGGUCUACCAAAAUUAGAUCAAACUCAAGUCCAGGCGAUUUUGGAUAACCUUGUCCAUGCUCGGAGACGAUUUGACAAACUUUGGCCACCGGAUAAACCCGAUUCGACUCGAGGUUGGAACGGUCAAAUCAAUGCUACGUCAUAUAUUUAUUCCGAACUAAUGAAGGCUACUAAAGGUCAAAAGAAGGUAGUUUGGCCUCCAGUGCCCGAAACUAACGGUUAUCAUCAACCACAGCAGCAGAGUCCCGCAUACUACAACAACGCACAGACCCCCAACCAGCAAUAUUCCCCGCAACCUCCAGCUCAACAACCUGUAAACCGUCAGGCCCCACCAUCCCAAUUCUCCCCAUCAAAUUACUCCUCAUACCAAGCACAGGCUCAGCCAGCAUAUUGUGACGGGAAACGCCAAGAAGCAACAGGUCUAAGUAAACUAAUCCCUGUGGGGCCUGGUGUCUCACCGUCCCCCGUUUCCCCUUACCGCCAAGGUCCUCUCUCACCAAGUGCUCAGCCCUACAAACAACAACCCAGUCGCUGGGCCCCAGUACCAGCCCCGGUCUCUCCCCAGCCACAAUACGGAUCACAGCCACAGUACUCGCCACAGCCGCAAUACUCUGAACCAGUCUACCAGCCACCUCAAAGACAAUUUGAACCUCCACCGACAAUCAUAACACUCCGUCAACAACCGCCGGUCCACCAGCAACCUCCUCCAGUCUUUGCCAGCCAACCGGCAACAGCGUCGCUUAAAGGAGGCGUAAACAUGCGUGGGGAUCAGAAAUGGCCGCCGCAGUCGGUGAAGGAAGCAGUUGAUGCUGAGAAUGAAGCCAGGAGACAGCUGGCCAAGGGACCAGCUUGCAGACCACGCAAGCCCCGGCAAUAUUCGCUUGCCGAAUUACUUGCACUGAACGAGGUGUAGGAGUCCGUCGUUUAGACUUGUCGCUAGUCGGCACUUGGCGGACUUAGUUAUCUUUAGUAAAAAAGGACUACACGGAAUUCUUUUCGCAGCACGCCCUGAAUCACAGUUACACAAGUUACCGCGUCCCACCCGGCACGCAGCACUUUGAACCCCUCUCGGGCCGAUCAUCAUAUUAAUUUAUCACUAGCCAUAUAUCAAAUAAAUUAAAAAAACUGCAAGUCGUAUCAACACAUUAAAAAAACAGAUCAACUUUCUUGUUAGGUAUUAUCAAAAUUAAUAGUUUUCAUUUCAUAAAUUUCAUUCAUACAUUGUACUCGAUGUCCCAGAGCGGAUGUCCAGUGUAGGUACUUGUGAAGACUUUUGUUACUAAAGUCUUUGUGCAUGUGCUCGAUUGGCGAUUGGUCAGCCACAGUCAGUACAUUAACAUAGAAUUAAUUUUUAAUCAUAACUUAGCUUCUAAGUGUAAGUAUGAAGUAAUAAUAUUUAACAAAACAUUUGAUAAAUACGAAAAAAUGUAAAUGUGCUUUGAAACAGACGAAUUCGUGCGAAAUUGCUUCACGCUUUUUAACUAAAAAGAAAUUGAAAUGUUACAAUUGAUCUUUUCAUUUUAAGCUUCUGCAAAAUGUAAAAAACAAAAUUAACUCUCAAAGCUUAAUUCGUAUGUACUUUACUUAACUAGUCAUUGUUAUUUAAUUUGAAUUAUAUUGUAUAUAAAAUGUUCAGUUAAAUGAUUUUUAUUGUAAAUGAUCAUUUAUAUUUUAAUUAAAUAAAUUUUUAAAGCGUAUAAA